ACCUACGUAAUAACGUUUUUGUAGUAAAAAUACUGUAGUUAGUAAUUUUGGCAAAAUUGGCCAAAAACAAAAAAAUUACCUACUAAAAUCACUAGCCAGUUGUGUCUAGGGAAACGACUAUACUAAUAAACAAUUUCUAAGCUGCUUUGUAUAAUAUUUUGUGAGUUCAUUAAUCAUAUUUUUUAUUUAAAACUAAAAUUUGUUAAUAAUGCUCAGUAAUGCAUAUAUUUUGUAUUUUUAGCUUUCCAGAAGAUCCUGCGAAGAAGGCAUGAAGUAUUGAUCAGAUUUGUUAAUAGAGCAGUAUGUUCAAAACAUUUUUUAGAAAAAGAUAUUGACAGAACUUCACUUUCAACUGUUCGUUUGAGAGACUGUGCUGUUCCAAUAGCUUAUAUCACACAGAAACAGCUGAGAGAAGUGGUCUACAAAAAACCAGGAAGGAAAUGGAAUACGUGGCUAUGAAAGGCAAAAGAAAGGUUUACAAAGCAAAUGUGACACAUUUUUUUAUAGGAAUAUCAGUAAACUACAUUAAAAAAAUGUAUGAAAAGAUUUUUUGCAAUAAAAAUGUUUAUAUUUA